CCUACGGGAGGCAGCAGUGGGGAAUUUUGGACAAUGGGCGCAAGCCUGAUCCAGCAAUGCCGCGUGCAGGAUGAAGGCCUUCGGGUUGUAAACUGCUUUUGUACGGAACGAAAAAGUCUGCCCUAAUACGGUGGGCCCAUGACGGUACCGUAAGAAUAAGCACCGGCUAACUACGUGCCAGCAGCCGCGGUAAUACGUAGGGUGCGAGCGUUAAUCGGAAUUACUGGGCGUAAAGCGUGCGCAGGCGGUUAUAUAAGACAGAUGUGAAAUCCCCGGGCUCAACCUGGGACCUGCAUUUGUGACUGUAUAGCUAGAGUACGGUAGAGGGGGAUGGAAUUCCGCGUGUAGCAGUGAAAUGCGUAGAUAUGCGGAGGAACACCGAUGGCGAAGGCAAUCCCCUGGACCUGUACUGACGCUCAUGCACGAAAGCGUGGGGAGCAAACAGGAUUAGAUACCCUGGUAGUCCACGCCCUAAACGAUGUCAACUGGUUGUUGGGUCUUCACUGACUCAGUAACGAAGCUAACGCGUGAAGUUGACCGCCUGGGGAGUACGGCCGCAAGGUUGAAACUCAAAAGUAGUAGUAGCGNGNGAGAGACGACGACGACGACGACGGAGGGAGGAGG
rnacentral:rRNA from 1 species